UGAGGAACAUGACCUUCGGCGGGGGAUAGCCGGCCCAACGGCCGGGUAAUACCGCGUACGACCACAUGGGGACAUCCCCGAGUGGUGAAAGCAGCAAUGCGCCGAUGGAGUGCCUCGCGGCCUAUCAGCUAGUUGGUGUGGGUAAUGGCCCACCAAGGCGACGACGGGUAGCCGGCCUGAGGAGGGUGACCGGCCACACGUGGGACUGAGGCACGGCCAGACUCCGUACGGGAGCAGCGAGG
rnacentral:rRNA from 1 species